AAAGUCUCUGAAAGAAAAUGCUGGGAGCCCCAUCACAAGAUAUAUUCUUUGGAGGAGCAGCAGGGGAAACCUCCCCCCAGGUACCAUUUUAAGGGGGGAGGUGUGUGGCAGGGCACUGUUGGUGCCUGCCACUUUAAGAUCUGAGCCAAGCAGCCAGCAGGUGCUUGAUUGUGGCAGCCAUUUUAGAUCCCUGGCUGCCUAUAUAAACAGAUCAGUUCCCUACUGGCAGGGCAGGCAGUAACAUUACUUAGCUGCAUAGAACAUUCUGGAGGUUGGUGGAAGUUUCUAAUGCUGUUGAGGGAUGAUUGGUUUCAACUCUAACAGGUAGCAGGGCUUCUACAAGAAGAGCUCAAUCAGAAAAAUAAUGGAGCAAUACUUCUGUGGCAAAGGACUCAGGAAGACCAAAACAGCUCAGAAUACUUCCUAUAUGAAAUGUCUGGGUUUACCUUGUGAAUAACGCUUGCAUAUAUAAUACUGCUAAUCUGUAGCACCCCAGAGCACCCUUAAAAGCAUCUCAAGGCACCUCAGGGUGCUGUGGUACCUAGGUUGAACAAAUCACUGAUUUAGACUGUUUGUUUGAUUUAUUACUGUUAAAAUUGAUCUCCAUUAAUAAUGGCCAAUCACCUGCGUAAGUAAUGGAGUAAUUGCUAGAAGUGCAACUUGUACAAAAUUAAUUCGCACUGUUGGCAGGCAUCUUUCUGCAUUAGACCAGGGGUGCUCAACCUCUGGCCUGCAGGGCAUGAGGCCUGUGCAGCCUUGGAAUCCAGCUUAUGGGCCUCCCCAAGGGCUGGGAAAUGUGGCUGUAGGGGAGCAGUAGCUGUUAAUACCAUCACCCUUCCCUGCUGCCAAAAUCCAAAGCCCCUCUCAAUGGGUUGGAGUCAGGCCAUGCCCCAUUCCCUCCAUGUGGCUGGAUUGGGCCAGUCAGUGCCCCCCCCCUCCCCCCCAGCUGAUUUGGGGGUGGCCCCUAUACCCCUUUCUCUCCCUCCCAACAUGCCUGAGCCAUACUAUGCCCCCUCCCCCACCCCUGCAUAGCUGGAUCAGGGCUGGGUCAUGCUCCCUCCCCCCAUGCAGGACCAAGUUGGGGUUGGACAAACCCCCUUUUCCCCACAUGCCUGGAUUGGGUUCUGCCACACUUAUUCUGGGUUCUGGAUUGGGUCCACCAGCCCACGCAGGGACUGGGUACUGCCCAUCCAGCUUGCUAGACAAAAAGGUUGAGCAUGGCUGAGUUAGACCCUUCAAUGUAUAAAUCCCAGAAUCCCCUUAUCCCAUUCAAUGUAUAAAUGCCAGAAUUUCCCAGCUCUGCUUCUCUUACUGCUACAGUCCAGAAGAACGUAUAUAUCCCUAAGCUAUGUAUUCAUUGUCAUGUAAUGUAGUAAGCUCCUAGUUGAAAUGUUUUUUAAAACAUUUACAAGUCUUAAUAAAUAUUUUAAAUAAAGUUGCAAUACCAAACAGCUACAUUACAUCUGUUGCAUGCUGAGGUACACUUAAAAUCCCUUUCAGUUUCUGUGCAUGAGAACAUGGGCAGUCCCAAAUGCAGGUGAAUCCCUUCAUUACAUUGGGUAACAAAUCUAGGUGCAGGAUGGUCAACCAAGCAGAAGGGCAGCUCUUUUUGUGCAUGGCAGAGCACAUCCCCUGUGUAGCUUUUGCAUGGGGGUAACUGUGUGCAGAGGGGAGAGCUCCCCAGGAUCAUCGUGCAGGAAGGUGAAGGAACCCUGUCCAGGCUGCUAUAGAGCCAAUGAGUAGGGUGCAGAAUUUUAUUUCCUCUGUCCAUAGCCUGCUUAUACAGGCUUCAUGCAGGCCCUUAUUUGUCUCUUAUUAAUGAUCUAAAAAAAUCAGCAAUACUUCACUUUAAUCCGGUUGGCUCUACCCCUACCCUUUACUCUCACAGACAUAGUAUACAGACUGGAUACUGUGAGAGCACAGGUGCUGAUGCUACUUGGCAUGCUGGUUUCUUAAAAGUGAUUGUAUGCAUUUGUUUUUUAAGAGACCUGUGAUUCUGCUUUCUGUGGAAGGUGCUUAAAAGAAAGAUAAUUUUUAACACACAACCGGACAGUGACUACCUUGAAUCAUCCCAAGUGGAAGUGUUCCUUCACGCUAUACUAGCGGCCUACAGGUUUUACACGCUUAUUUCUAAGACCUUGCUACCCUCUGUUCCAGAACAGAUUUCCCAUUCAGACUAUUAGUUGUACUGUAGCACCCAAAGGCCUCAAUGAACUAGGCACUCUAGGUAGAUGUAGUGAAAAACA